rnacentral:rRNA from 1 species
GGAAUAUUGGACAAUGGGCGAAAGCCUGAUCCAGCAAUACCGCGUGUGUGAAGAAGGCCUUAGGGUUGUAAAGCACUUUCAAUUGGGAGGAAAACCUGUCGGUCAAUACCCGGCAGCUUGACAUUACCUUUAGAAGAAGCACCGGCUAACUCCGUGCCAGCAGCCGCGGUAAUACGGAGGGUGCGAGCGUUAAUCGGAAUUACUGGGCGUAAAGCGUGCGUAGGCGGUUCGUUAAGUCAGAUGUGAAAGCCCUGGGCUCAACCUGGGAACUGCAUUUGAAACUGGCGGACUAGAGUUUAGUAGAGGGGAGUGGAAUUUCAGGUGUAGCGGUGAAAUGCGUAGAUAUCUGAAGGAACACCAGUGGCGAAGGCGACUCCCUGGACUAGAACUGACGCUGAGGUACGAAAGCGUGGGUAGCAAACAGGAUUAGAUACCCCGGUAGUCCACGCCGUAAACGAUGUCGACUAGCCGUUGGUCCUAUUUACAGGAUUAGUGGCGCAGCUAACGCAUUAAGUCGACCGCCUGGGGAGUACGGCCGCAAGGUUAAAACUCAAAUGAAUUGACGG